rnacentral:lncRNA from 1 species
GAUCCUUUAUAUACCGUGCCUUGACCUUCCGAUGUCAUUCGGAAAUUUGUGUCGUUCGGUUGCUGUCUCAUUUACGUAUACCCCAAUCCCCUCUUUUACUCAAUACUCUAAAACAAAUUUGUCGAGGCUAAAAAAUAACAAUAAAAAGUCAUACUGUGGGUAAUCUUUUCUGCAAUUUCUUAGAAUGUUUUGCUUUAUAUAUCAUGCACUUACUGCUAUAUGUUGUCAUACUACUUAUUAGAACAUUCCUUUCAUUUGACGUAUACGUGAUGUAUAUACGUUUUAAAGUAAACUUAAGAAGUCCGACUCACAUGUUUGUUCGAUUUUUCUAUUUAUUAAAAGAGAUACAACUUUCAAUCCCUUAUGCUAACGCCAUAUUCCAGUUCAACACCUACGUAUAUUGUCGAGUAGUAUGUAGUUUGUGUGUUUUCUCUGUUUAAAUAUUAUAAAGUAAACAAAUCAGUUUCUAUGCUUAUACUAUUCUGAUCAUAUGAUUUUACAUAACUCAUUUUUUAUCCUUAAAUGUUGUUCUCUUGUUUAAAACUGUAAAGCUGUCGAAAAG